rnacentral:rRNA from 1 species
AUUGAACGCUGGCGGCAUGCCUUACACAUGCAAGUCGAACGGCAGCGCGGGAGCAAUCCUGGCGGCGAGUGGCGAACGGGUGAGUAAUAUAUCGGAACGUGCCCUGGAGUGGGGGAUAACUAGUCGAAAGACUAGCUAAUACCGCAUACGAUCUACGGAUGAAAGUGGGGGAUCGCAAGACCUUAUGCUCGUGGAGCGGCCGAUAUCUGAUUAGCUAGUUGGUGGGGUAAAAGCCUACCAAGGCGACGAUCAGUAGCUGGUCUGAGAGGACGACCAGCCACACUGGGACUGAGACACGGCCCAGACUCCUACGGGAGGCAGCAGUGGGGAAUUUUGGACAAUGGGGGCAACCCUGAUCCAGCAAUGCCGCGUGUGUGAAGAAGGCCUUCGGGUUGUAAAGCACUUUUGUCCGGAACGAAACGGUUGGGGCUAAUAUCCCCGGCUAAUGACGGUACCGGAAGAAUAAGCACCGGCUAACUACGUGCCAGCCGCCGCGGUAA